UACUCUGCCUCAUUAUACUCCUUUUGCCUU
rnacentral:piRNA from 1 species